UGCAGUCGUACGAGAACAUGUCCUUCGGGGCAUGGAGUAAAGUGGCGCACGGGUGAGUAACACGUGGGUAACCUGCCCUGGGGCUCGGGAUAACCGGCCGAAAGGGCUGCUAAUACCGGAUGAGACCACAUGAGCUCCGGCUCAAGGGGUCAAAGUCGGCCUCUCGACGAAACCCACACCACAGGAUGGGCCCGCCGAACAUUAACUUGUUGGUGAGGUAACGGCUCACCAAGGCAAAGAUGGUUAGCUGGUCUGAAAAGAUGAUCAACCACACUGGAACUGAGACACGGUCCAGACUCCUACGGGAGGCAGCAGUGAGGAAUAUUGCGCAAUGGGGGAAACCCUGACGCAGCAACGCCGCGUGGGUGAAGAAGGCCUUCGGGUUGUAAAGCCCUGUCAGGCGGGAAGAAACCUCUGCAGGUGAAUAGUCUGUGGAGCUGACGGUACCGCCAAAGGGAGCACCGGCUAACUCCGUGCCAGCAGCCGCGGUAAGACGGAGGGUGCAAGCGUUGUUCGGAAUUACUGGGCGUAAAAGCGCGUGUAGGCGGUUCGAUAAGUCGAGUGUGAAAACCCCGAGGCUCAACCUCGAAAGUGCAUUCCAAACUGUCGGGCUUGAGUACAGGGAGAGGGAAAUGGAAUUCCUGGUGUAAAGGUUAAAUUCUUAAAU
rnacentral:rRNA from 1 species